rnacentral:tRNA from 1 species
GCCGCGGUAGCUCAAUUGGUUAGAGCAUCGCAUGCGUAAUGCGAUGACGUGGGAUCACUUCCCACCUGCGGCA